UCCCUGAUGGUGUAACGGCAGCACGACGGCCUUUGGAGCCGAGAGCCCGGGUUCGAACCCUGGUCGGGGAGCCA
rnacentral:tRNA from 2 species